rnacentral:lncRNA from 1 species
AAAAAAAAAUUUGAAAAAGCCGAGAACUCAAGCACAACAUGUCUAUCGUGAGAAGUGUUUGUAUUUUGCUGCUUUUGACGGCUAUUGCUUUGGAGGCAACCCCAUUGUCAGGAGGAUUAAAGAAGAGAUUGGGACAGCCAUAUCCGUGCACCGACUCGUGUGUACCAAAAGGAGGGUGUGACGGUUGGCCCCUGUUAUAUGGGGUCUGCAGUGAUUCCACCAUGCAAUGUUGUGAUACCGAAUGGUGAAUGAUGCUUCUCAUCAAGUGUGACAGUUUAGAAUCGUCGAGGAUGAAAACUUCACUGGAGUUACAUCAAUAAUUUUGAGGUCACGAAAAUAAACUUAAAAUAAUCAAACAA